rnacentral:rRNA from 1 species
UACAUGGGGUGCAAACGUUGCUCGGAAUUAUUGGGCGAAAGCGCACGUAGGCGGUUCGUUAAGUCGGAUGUGAAAGCCCUCGGCUCAACUGAGGAAGUGCACCCGAAACUGGCGAGCUUGAGUACGAAAGAGGAUCGCGGAAUUCCCGGUGUAGAGGUGAAAUUCGUAGAUAUCGGGGAGGAACACCGGUGGCGAAGGCGGCUCUCUGGACCAGCACUGACACUGAGGCACGAAAGCGUGGGGAGCAAACAGG